rnacentral:misc_RNA from 1 species
GAUAAGCAUAAGCUCGAUAUAAUAAGGAAUAGAAGUCCAGACGCCAGACCGCCCCACUGCCCACUCCUGUAAUUUGCUCUGUGUAAUGAAGAUACCCGACAUUCCUAGUACGGCGCAAUAAAUCCCUCCCUCCAGAUUUAAGGUUACUGCUUCUGUGAGCACCCAUAAACACUUCGUUCUUUAAUCGCUUUUCCCCACAGAUUGGUGAGCUGGGCUUUUAUAGAUUAGAGGGAGGGAGGAUGAUGGCGGUUUCUGAUGCAGUGAUAGGGAAUUUAACGAUGAUCUAUGUCGCAAUUAUCGCGGGGAUUAAGGCUUAUGGGUUAGUCAUUGGGCGGAGCUUCAGUGGGGGAUUUGUAUUGGUUGUGUCCACCACCCUGGUGGGUUUAAUCUUGAUUGCGUCGCUCACUUGGGACUUGUCUCGAAAAGUUACGCACGCAAUAUCGCGAGAUCACAUUCAUGUCCACGAAAUGUGCAAGGGUGGUAUUUGUUGGCAUGGCGUUGCGGUUCGGUCUCCGGCUUCCCAGGUUUGCUUCAGGCUCCCUCAGCAUCAGCAACAUCACGACGGUCCAGCGUAAAAACUCAAGCUCAAAAAGAAAAUGAUGAAUAAGAAUAAUGGUUGUAGAACUGUAAGAUAGAAAAUCUCUUUUUGGUUGUUGGUGUUUCACGUUUGUAGCUGGGGCUUACGAUGCCUUUACGUUGGAAAAGGCAUCACCCAUGAGGUGUUUGCUUUUUUGUUUGAGAGGAAUAGAAAUUUGAUAAUGUAUGUAAAUAAUAAAAAGAGAAUGAUGUUUGUGCAUAAAUUAUGUCCCAGGCGUUUGGUUAAUCAUUUAGACUGUGCUGUGUCCAGUUGAUCUUUCAAGUCGUAGAGGUGAGAUGGGUGAUGGUUUUUGCAGUUUCAUCAAAUCUGGAUGCCAAAUUUAUUUGCAUGCAAUUUUGGACUGAAUUUUCAAGCACAAAGAUGGGGCUGAAGCCUGAAUUUCUAUUAUCUAUUUCUUGAAGAAGGGAUCAGGUCCAAUAGCUAACUUCUGAUCAUUUUGAAUCUUAGGUUAUUCAUUAAUUGAUUGAAUAAAUUAUAAAAUAAUAAGAUGACUUACAAUUUUCAAUUGCCCUUUUGGUUUUGCACCUGAGGGGGAAGUUUUUGAAGGUAGAGUAUGAGUUUUUAAAGUAAUGCUUCCAUAGAUGACUUUUGGCAGUAAGGUUUUGUAUUAAUGUUAAGGUUUUUGGAAAUGGAUGAGAAGGUUUUGAUAUACCGCAGCAAACAGAGUAUUGAAGUUAAUGACAAUCUAAUAAUUUUAAUUAGAUUAAGAACGGUGGUAAUGUAAGUACGAACUUGAAACGUGCUACGAAAUUGGCAGCUUUUGAAGACCGUCUUCAUCAUCCUUUGUCCAUCUUCUGGCCUAAGAAGGGUUGCUGAUAUUGGAAGAUAAUGCAAUUUACUUCUUCUGAACCAACUAAGCCAAGUCUUUCUGACUCAUGAUUGCUCUUCGGGGAGACUGAAUUAUCUUGAAGGUGCAUCUUUCCUAGAGGCAACGGUUGUUGGCGACUUGGCAGGGUGAGAACAAUGCAAGUCGGGUAUUAAAUGCAGCACCUUUCGCUUCCUGGAUAGUUUUUCCUUGUUUGGUCUGAGUGAACUGUGGCUCUGAUGGGAUCUUGUUGUUAAAUUCAUCUCCUGGUUGGUUUCUACAUUCUUUUAACCUGUGGACUGGAUUGAAAAGAAGUAUGUAUCAUCCAUCAAUGCUGAAUUUUCUGUGGCUUGAGUCAUAUGUGUUUUUGUUUUCUCUGUCGGUAUUUCUCUGUUAUGACUGGAAUAUCCAUUGCAGUGUCAGAAAGUGCUGAACAUAACAAGGAAAGAAAUGCUGGUGCUGCAAGUUACUGAGCUUUGAGCGAAAAUCAACCAGCUACACAUAGAAGGUGCUGGGUUUAUGUCUGUUUCAAGGUCUGCCUAGCAUUAUUAUUGGAAUUGCUAUUAAAAAAAUACUUGUUAAAGCUAAAUUUGACAUGUUCUAAUAAUAAAAAACAUUAAAACAACAAAAUAAUUUUUCUUUCGAC